GAUGAACGCUGGCGGCGUGCCUAAUACAUGCAAGUCGAGCGAACGGACGAGAAGCUUGCUUCUCUGAUGUUAGCGGCGGACGGGUGAGUAACACGUGGAUAACCUACCUAUAAGACUGGGAUAACUUCGGGAAACCGGAGCUAAUACCGGAUAAUAUUUUGAACCGCAUGGUUCAAAAGUGAAGGACGGUCUUGCUGUCACUUAUAGAUGGAUCCGCGCUGCAUUAGCUAGUUGGUAAGGUAACGGCUUACCAAGGCAACGAUGCAUAGCCGACCUGAGAGGGUGAUCAGCCACACUGGAACUGAGACACGGUCCAGACUCCUACGGGAGGCAGCAGUAGGGAAUCUUCCGCAAUGGGCGAAAGCCUGACGGAGCAACGCCGCGUGAGUGAUGAAGGUCUUCGGAUCGUAAAACUCUGUUAUUAGGGAAGAACAUAUGUGUAAGUAACUGUGCACAUCUUGACGGUACCUAAUCAGAAAGCCACGGCUAACUACGUG
rnacentral:rRNA from 1 species